rnacentral:rRNA from 1 species
CCUCGCCCUUAGUUGCCAGCAUUUAGUUGGGCACUCUAAGGGGACUGCCGGUGAUAAGCCGAUAGGAAGGUGGGGAUGACGUCAAGUCCUCAUGGCCCUUACGGGCUGGGCUACACACGUGCUACAAUGGUGGUGACAGUGGGCAUCGAAACAGCGAUGUCGAGCUAAUCUCCAAAAGCCAUCUCAGUUCGGAUUGCACUCUGCAACUCGAGUGCAUGAAGUUGGAAUCGCUAGUAAUCGCAGAUCAGCAUGCUGCGGUGAAUACGUUCCCGGGCCUUGUACACACCGCCCGUCACACCAUGGGAGUUGGUUUUACCCGAAGAGCGNUGCGUCUAUACCGCACAGGGGGUCAUGGCGACCACGGUAGGGUCUAGCCGACUGGGGUGAAGUCGUAACAAGGUGAGCCGUCAGGGG